rnacentral:rRNA from 1 species
UACGGGGGGAGCAAGCGUUGUUCGGAUUUACUGGGCGUAAAGGGCGCGUAGGCGGUCAUGACAAGUCACUUGUGAAAUCUCCGGGCUUAACUCGGAACGGUCAAGUGAUACUGUCGGACUAGAGUACAGAAGGGGCAACUGGAAUUCUCGGUGUAGCGGUGAAAUGCGUAGAUAUCGGGAAGAACACCAAAGGCGAAAGCACUCUGCUGGGCCGAAACUGACACUGAUAGACGAAAGCUAGGGGAGCAAAUGGG